rnacentral:rRNA from 1 species
CCUACGGGAGGCAGCAGUGAGGAAUAUUGGGCAAUGGAGGCAACUCUGACCCAGCAACGCCGCGUGAGUGAAGAAGGCUUUCGGGUUGUAAAGCUCUUUCGUCAGGGACGAUGAUGACGGUAGCAUCUAAAGAAGCACCGGCUAACUACGUGCCAGCAGCCGCGGUAAUACGAAGGGGGCAAGCGUUGUUCGGAUUUACUGGGCGUAAAGGGAGUGUAGGCGGAUUAGUAAGUAAGAUGUGAAAUCCCAGAGCUUAACUUUUGAAUUGCAAUUAUAACUAUUAGUCUAGAGUUACGGAGAGGAUGAUGGAAUACCUAGUGUAGCGGUGAAAUGCGUAGAUAUUAGGUAGAACACCAGUGGCGAAGGCGAUUAUCUGG